CAAAAUCCCUAAUUCACUGUUUUGAAAAGAAAAACACGUCUCUUCUUCUUCCCUGUUUUCCCGUCAUCUUCAACAGCGACGCCAGAGCUUCCUAACUCCGUCGGCAUCGCUGCAUGAGCUUCAUCAUCGUAGUGACAGCUCCACCGCAUCUUCAUCCCUGCAUCCUCAUGCCAAAGGAUUGUUCUGUUCUUUAACUGCUCUCUCUUCUCUCCUCUUCUCCUAGGGGCAAUUUUCUCCGAAGCUUCAGAGGAAAAAAACAGAAGAACCAUCAUAAAAGAAACACAGAGUGUACCUUAGAAACAAAGCAGAAGGAGUCUUUUGCUGGCAUUGAAACAGUUUAUUUCAGAAACAACCACACGCACACCAAGUGUUUGUUGGUUUGAUACAAAGUGUUGGACUGUUUCUUCCAUCGCGGUACAUCUUCGACAGGUUGGGGGUAUUGUUCUGAUUCUUCCAUGGAGUUGUUGGUUCACUGGCAAUCCCUUGUGCAUUACUUUCCAGAAGAAGAUUCUUAUUUUCGGCUGCACUUUCAGGUCCCAAAUAGAAGUCCAGAUCUUCUUCUGCCGGCAGUGGAGUGGCAUCAGCUCGAAUGGAGGGUGGUAGAACAAGUGCGCCAGUAAAUAUCCUGAAGCCACGGUGUAGCAACCCUUUUUCUCCCUUGGCCAGGAAUCAUAACUUGAAAAUGUUUGGGAACAAGAAGGUCACAGCUUAGUACAAGUAAAAUUCGAUCAUGUGUUAAUAUUUUUGAGUCGGAGAAACUUUAUUUUUUUGAAGUAGAUGGGUACAGAUGACUCCAACUAUGUAGAUUUUAUUUUUUGGAAGUAGGCGAUGUCGCUGACCAUGAAGAAUUACCCUUUUGAAAAGUGUUGUUUGGUGAUAAAAUAGUACUCUCUAGGAGUUCUUUUGGUUAUUACUUUUUUGGCGUUUUGUUAUAUGUUUAUAAAAAUUGUAUAUGAUUUUUGGCCUCACAUACUUGGAAAGAAAUGCUACCAAGUUUUGAGAAUAUUUUAUUUUGUAAUUACAA